UGGGAACAUGACCUGAGCCAAAGGCAGACUUUUAACCCACUGAGCCACCAAGGAGCCUCCAGGUUUUUCUACUGUCAAAUCGGAGACUUCUUUCUUAAAAAAAAAAAAAAAAAGAAGAAGUGGUAAACAAGAUCUGGUACCUCUGGUUACAUUUGGUGAUCAGUGGGAAAUACUGCCUGAGGAGACUGGUAAGCCAGUGGUUCUUCCGUGUGUGCCAUCCAGAAUUACCUAGAUGGCUGGUGGGAGUCCACUGUCAGGCUUCAUCCUCCACCCCACUUCCAGAUUCAAGUGAUCUGGGGCUGGCCUCCAGAGUUUCUAACAAUUUCCCAAGGGAAGUUGAUGCUGCCGGUCCAGGAACCACACUUUGAGAAUCACUGUUUGGGGAUCUGUCUCAGAGAAGCAAAAGAAGUGAAUACAGAGGGAAAGAAAAUAUUUGGGAAAUUUUUUCUUAAGAGGCUGCACUUUCUGGGCUCCGGUUUCAUUUACCUUUCUAUUCACUCCACGAUGGCAGGCAGUGUGUAUUCCUAAUGCUUAAAUGCCAGUCAGGAAAUCAAACCACUCGUCCUUAGAAAAUAAAAGGUUUGUGUGGCCUUAGUGCAACGAA